GAUGAACGCUGGCGGCGUGCCUAAUACAUGCAAGUCGAGCGAACAGAUGAGGAGCUUGCUCCUCUGACGUUAGCGGCGGACGGGUGAGUAACACGUGGAUAACCUACCUAUAAGACUGGGAUAACUUCGGGAAACCGGCGCUAAUACCGUAUAAUAUAUUGAACCGCAUGGUUCAAUAGUGAAAGACGGUUUUGCUGUCUCUUCUAGAUGGAUCCGCGCCGCAUUAGCUAGUUGGUAAGGUAACGGCUUACCAAGGCAACGAUGCGUAGCCGACCUGAGAGGGUGAUCGGCCACACUGGAACUGAGACACGGUCCAGACUCCUACGGGAGGCAGCAGUAGGGAAUCUUACGCAAUGGGCGAAAGCCUGACGGAGCAACGCCGCGUGAGUGAUGAAGGUCUUCGGAUCGUAAAACUCUGUUAUUAGGGAAGAACAAAUGUGUAAGUAACUAUGCACGUCUUGACGGUACCGAAUCAGAAAGCCACGGCUAACUACGUG
rnacentral:rRNA from 1 species